AGAGCAGAUCAGACGAUCGCCGGUUCAUUUUGAUCCGGAGGAAAGUCCGAACACCGCAGGGCAGGGUGCUCCGUAACGCGGAGUCGUGGCAACGCGAAGGAAAGUGCAACAGAAAAUAUACCGCCUCAUUGGGAAGAAUGAAGGAUGAAGGAUGAAGGAUGAAUUCAUGCUUCUGAAUUCAGCGUUCCGGAGGUAAGGGUGAAAUGGUGUCGGUAAGAGCGCACCAGUUCCCCGGGCGACUGGGGAAGCUUUGUAAACCCCACUCGGUGCAAGACCAAAUAGAGGAACGUCCGAGGGUUGCCCGCCCGAGUUCCCGGGUAGGUUGCAAGAGAUGCCGGGCAACUGGCAUCCACAGAUGAAUGAUCGUCACCUGAUCCUGAGUAAUCCGGAUCAGGAACAGAAUUCGGCUUAUGAACUGCUCUGGCC
rnacentral:RNase_P_RNA from 1 species